GCUCAGACGAACGCUGGCGGCGUGCCUAAUACAUGCAAGUCGAACGCUUUUUCUUUCACCGGAGCUUGCUCCACCGAAAGAAAAAGAGUGGCGAACGGGUGAGUAACACGUGGGUAACCUGCCCAUCAGAAGGGGAUAACACUUGGAAACAGGUGCUAAUACCGUAUAACACUAUUUUCCGCAUGGAAGAAAGUUGAAAGGCGCUUUUGCGUCACUGAUGGAUGGACCCGCGGUGCAUUAGCUAGUUGGUGAGGUAACGGCUCACCAAGGCAACGAUGCAUAGCCGACCUGAGAGGGUGAUCGGCCACACUGGGACUGAGACACGGCCCAGACUCCUACGGGAGGCAGCAGUAGGGAAUCUUCGGCAAUGGACGAAAGUCUGACCGAGCAACGCCGCGUGAGUGAAGAAGGUUUUCGGAUCGUAAAACUCUGUUGUUAGAGAAGAACAAGGAUGAGAGUAAAAUGUUCAUCCCUUGACGGUAUCUAACCAGAAAGCCACGGCUAACUACGUGCCAGCAGCCGCGGUAAUACGUAGGUGGCAAGCGUUGUCCGGAUUUAUUGGGCGUAAAGCGAGCGCAGGCGGUUUCUUAAGUCUGAUGUGAAAGCCCCCGGCUCAACCGGGGAGGGUCAUUGGAAACUGGGAGACUUGAGUGCAGAAGAGGAGAGUGGAAUUCCAUGUGUAGCGGUGAAAUGCGUAGAUAUAUGGAGGAACACCAGUGGCGAAGGCGGCUCUCUGGUCUGUAACUGACGCUGAGGCUCGAAAGCGUGGGGAGCGAACAGGAUUAGAUACCCUGGUAGUCCACGCCGUAAACGAUGAGUGCUAAGUGUU
rnacentral:rRNA from 1 species